CACGUGGGAGGCGAGCGUUGUCCGGAAUCAUUGGGCGUAAAGAGCGCGCAGGCGGCUUGGCAAGUCGGGUGUGAAAUCCCGGGGCUCAACCCCGUGACUGCAUCCGAUACUGUCAGGCUAGAGGUAGGUAGGGGAGAUCGGAAUUCCUGGUGUAGCGGUGAAAUGCGCAGAUAUCAGGAGGAACACCGGUGGCGAAGGCGGAUCUCUGGGCCUUACCUGACGCUCAGGCGCGAAAGCUAGGGGAGCGAACAGG
rnacentral:rRNA from 1 species